rnacentral:rRNA from 1 species
GUUUGAUUAUGGCUCAGGAUGAACGCUAGCUACAGGCUUAACACAUGCAAGUCGAGGGGUAGCAGGGUAGCAAUACCGCUGACGACCGGCGCACGGGUGAGUAACACGUAUCCAACCUUCCCAUAACUCAGGGAUAGCCUUUCGAAAGAAAGAUUAAUACCUGAUAGUACUUUUUCAAGGCAUCUUGAGAAAGUUAAAGAUUUAUUGGUUAUGGAUGGGGAUGCGUUCCAUUAGAUAGUUGGUGAGGUAACGGCUCACCAAGUCUUCGAUGGAUAGGGGUUCUGAGAGGAAGGUCCCCCACAUUGGUACUGAGACACGGACCAAACUCCUACGGGAGGCAGCAGUGAGGAAUAUUGGUCAAUGGGCGAGAGCCUGAACCAGCCAAGUAGCGUGAAGGAUGAAGGUCCUAUGGAUUGUAAACUUCUUUUAUAGUAGAAUAAAGUGAUCCACGUGUGGAUUUUUGUAUGUAUACUAUGAAUAAGGAUCGGCUAACUCCGUGCCAGCCGCAGC